UACGGGGGGGGCAAGCGUUGUUCGGAAUUACUGGGCGUAAAGGGCUCGUAGGCGGCCAACUAAGUCAGACGUGAAAUCCCUCGGCUUAACCGGGGAACUGCGUCUGAUACUGGAUGGCUUGAGUUUGGGAGAGGGAUGCGGAAUUCCAGGUGUAGCGGUGAAAUGCGUAGAUAUCGGGAGGAAGACCAGUGGCGAAGGCGGGUCUCUGGACAGUUCCUGACACUGAGGCACGAAGGCCAGGGGAGCAAACGGG
rnacentral:rRNA from 1 species